rnacentral:lncRNA from 1 species
CCCAUUCAACACAACUUUAUUGUUUUCAUAGAACUACAAUUCACUUUAACUGUUGCAUCGCAUAGGAUGUUGCUGUACUGUAAUGCUUGUACAGGAACGUGCAUUAGUUCUAGUAUUACAGAUAAACACUUCACCAAUCUAGGCAGUAUCAACAGAUUGAUUUGGUUCAGAUGAUUUUCUUCUAUGCACUGAGAUAACAUCACGAUGUGUUUACUUGGAUAUUUUAUGUGGUUAGCACAAGUUCAAGUAUACCAAGGUAGACAGCACAAGUUACAGUGAUACCUAUGCAAAUCAUAAUCAUCAACUGAGAUGCUAUUUUAAUUAUAAUUAUUUUCUAGAUUAAAAAAAUACGGGAAAAUAUUUAAAUUUUAAACGAAGGCAUAUUACUGAGGCAGAAUUCAGUUCACUACAGAAGCCAGUACUACAACUAGUACAAUCAAGAGAAAAGGGGGUGGGGGUAGAGUGCACAUUCGAUGAUGAAUGGCGAUUGCAACUUACUGCAGGCACAGCAAAAUGAAAAAGCUGUUUGUUGUAUACAAAAGUGUUCAAUACUGUAGACAAUAUUUAAGACAACAGCUAGUAUUUGUCAUUUUCAGCAACGAUCUAGUUAGUUCGAUAAGUAUUCUAACAGUCAAAAAAACCCACAAAACGGUCACAUGAAAUGAGUAAUUUCCAUAAAAAAAAAAAGUUUAACAGCAUUGCUGAGCUUGUAAAUUUGGCCAACUCUACAAUACUUGAAUUCUUGAACACACACAUACAAAGAAUCUUAGGCGGAGAGAUGAUGAAAUUAUCAUUUUAGUUAUGGUAAUUUCGUUAGAAAAUUAUAAGACUUGAAGACAUUUACAAAAAUCGAACUUUUCAAUUAACCCUCUAAACAAUGUUGUUCACAGAAUACAAGAAAUUUCUAAUACUAAUAAAGAUUAAUUGACUCACAAAUUGAAAAGUUGCAAGUAUUUACUUUUAGAUGAGUCACAUAAGACAGUUCCCAUUGAAAAUUUUGGUACAUUCUGUCUCAAAGAACAUCCAAAUUUAUGAAGAAAUGUCAAUUCAUUGCCUAAAAACUCAAACUCAUGACAGGUGUUUUUGACAUUUUCUCAUCUGUUGGAAGAAUUUCAGCUAGACAUAGAAAAAUUAGUUUCUAUGAUGAGACUCCAACUAUGUUGUCAAAAGACCAAAAGUACUGGAAUUUUAAAGCAAGAGAAUGAUGUUUCCCUCAUUCUUUUGUUUCACUGUCUGGUAACUAUUGAAAAUAUUUGUGUUCGGUUUUCUAAAGCAGACUCUAGAAAGAGUCAUGAAUACAGAUGUUAAAAUUCUUCAGUAUGUAUGUGCAAAUGCUAUAAAAUAUUCAUUGCCAGGUUAGGGAACUGGUGAAGAGAAUAUUUUUUAGUGAUCUUGUGUUUUUACUAAUGUUCCUUGGUUGAGUUAUAAAAGAAUUUUUACAAAGAUUCCCUGUACUAGAAAUUCCAAUUCAAAAAAAAAAAAUUCCAAUUCAAGGUUUUCUUAAAACAAAGGAAUGCCUGCCAUAUAUUCAAAAACCAAAGACAAAAAGUGGCAGAGCAAGAAUUCUCCUUAACAUAACACUGCAUAUGAAUAUGCUAAUUUUGAAGCUCCUUAGAACAGGAAAAACUUGUACCUACUUAGGUGAAAUACUUUAGUUAAAACAAAUAUUUCAUGAUACAAAUAAAAAAUGACAAUUGUACAUAUUUUUCUAACAUUGGGUCAAUAUACAAAUUUUAAAUGUAAUCAGCAGCAUCUUACAUAAGUUAGCUACAAAAAAUAAAACAAGACAAAUGAAAGUACUGGUUUGUUGAUAUGGAUAAAUUUAGUUUUGUUUCCAUUUUAUGCACUACUUUAUGCCAAAUUUGCUGUUAAUAAUACUGAGAUGAUAUAAGAGUUAGUGAAUUUACUUGAACAAACAGUUUUCUAAAUGAUAUGCUUUUGCUUCAAAAUCAAUUCUUCUAAUAAGAAAGAUGAACUGUUUUGUCAAUGUGGAUGCAAGUAUCAGAGUAAAGUAAUUCCUUUGAAUUACUUUGGUAAUUUGGUCCAGUUACUGGAAAACUUUAAGCAUAUUUAGAAUAACAAGAUAUGUUUGGAAGAACCAUGUGAACCUACUUUUAAACACUAAGUUUUAUAAAUCUAAAUAUGGAUCAAGUAAUUCAGUGUAUGAACUGCUACAACUUUUAUAAAACACACACUGGGUUUUGAAGACAAUGCAAAACAUAACAUAAAAUGCCUCAUGAAAUAAUAAUGAUAAUUAUUUCACAAUUUUUACACUGGUUAAAAUAUGUUGAAAUAAUAUUUUGUCUCUCUUGGGUAAAAUAAAAUGUAUUGUUAACUUCAUCUGCUUUGCUUUUUAAAAGUAGCUACUAGAAAAUCUGAAAUUACGUAUGUGGCUCACAGUAUGCUCCUUGGAUAGUGCUGCAGUAAUGAAAACACCUAAACACCUUCCAGUCAGCUUUUUAGAGCCGUCUUCUUUUUUUUUUUUUUUUUAAUUUUUAUUUAUUUAUGAUAGUCACACAGAGAGAGAGAGGGAGGCAGAGACACAGGUAGCGUCCCUCACAGGUAGCGUCCCUCUCAGGUAGCGCGUACACAUAUGCUCGCACACGCGCUCACAGGUAGCGUCUCAGGUAGCGUCCCUCUCAGGUAGCGUGUGCACACACGCACCCACGCAUGCGCGCUCACAGGUCGUGUCUCAGCGUCCCUCUCAGGUACCGCGUACACAUAUGCUCGCGCACGCGCUCACAGGUAGCGUCCCUCUCUGGCAGCACAUGCACACACGCACGCGUGCUCACAGGCAGCGUCCCUCUCAGGUAGCGCGUGCACACACAACCUCCAGCGGCUCUCCGCCGCCCGGGGAAUCACACACACACACUCGUCAGAAGGGCCGGCCCGGGGGACCCGACCAGCGGCGGGAAGGCGGGCAGCGGACCCCUACCCCCAGGCUUCAGGCUGUGCCCGGGCGCUCCACGAGGGGAGAGGUUUCCCCUCCCGGCAGCACCGACCAGGUCCGGGGUGGGGUGGGGGGGGACUAGCUGCCACCCCCCCGGGACUCGCAGCCCGCCCGCGCUCCACACGCCGGCCUCACGCCCAGCCUGCGCGUCUACAGCGUGGCCCGCCGUCCUGCACCACCAAGCGUUAACGCGGCGGGGGGAGCAUUUGCAAAAAUGGAGCGAGGCAGAUCUGGCGUCAUUGUGCUUCAGCUACUGUGCGUGUGGUGUUUUUUUUUUUUUUUUUCAAACGCACAAGUCGAAGGUUUGUGGCAACCUUGUGUUGGGCAAGUCCGUUGGCAUCAUUUUCCCCAACAGCAUCUGCUCCCUUUAUGGGUCACGUUUUGGGAAUUCUCACAGUAUUUCAAGCUUUUCAGCCACCACGCCACCUGCCACGGUGUCCUGUGAUCUGGGAGCCUUGACGCUACGACUAGCGCUUUGGGGCACCACCAAGCACACUCGUGGAAGACAGUGAGCUU